CAGCCGCGGUAAUACGUAGGGGGCGAGCGUUGUCCGGAUUUACUGGGCGUAAAGGGCGCGUAGGCGGUUGCGCAAGUUUGGAGUGACAGUGCUCGGCUUAACUGAGCAAGGCCUCUGAAAACUGCGGGACUUGAGGACCAGAGAGGGACAUAGAAUUCCGGGUGGAGUGGUGAAAUGCGUAGAUAUCCGGAGGAAUACCAAAGGCGAAGGCAGUGUCCUGGAGGGUGACUGACGCUGAGGCGCGAAAGCUAGGGGAGCGAACAGGAUUAGAUACCCUGGUAGUCCUAGCCGUAAACGAUGACCACUAGAUGUGCGGGGUAUCGACCCCUCGCGUGUCGGAGCAAACGUUUGAA
rnacentral:rRNA from 1 species